rnacentral:rRNA from 1 species
GAUGAACGCUGGCGGCGUGCCUAAUACAUGCAAGUCGAGCGAACAGAUGAGGAGCUUGCUCCUCUGACGUUAGCGGCGGACGGGUGAGUAACACGUGGAUAACCUACCUAUAAGACUGGGAUAACUUCGGGAAACCGGAGCUAAUACCGGAUAAUAUAUUGAACCGCAUGGUUCAAUAGUGAAAGACGGUUUUGCUGUCACUUAUAGAUGGAUCCGCGCCGCAUUAGCUAGUUGGUAAGGUAACGGCUUACCAAGGCGACGAUGCGUAGCCGACCUGAGAGGGUGAUCGGCCACACUGGAACUGAGACACGGUCCAGACUCCUACGGGAGGCAGCAGUAGGGAAUCUUCCGCAAUGGGCGAAAGCCUGACGGAGCAACGCCGCGUGAGUGGUGAAGGUCUUUGGAUCGUAAAACUCUGUUAUUAGGGAAGAACAAAUGUGUAAGUAACUAUGCACGUCUUGACGGUACCUAAUCAGAAAGCCACGGCUAACUACGUG